rnacentral:rRNA from 1 species
UACGGAGGGUGCAAGCGUUAUCCGGAUUCACUGGGUUUAAAGGGUGCGUAGGUGGGCAGGUAAGUCGAACGUGAAAUCCCCAGGCUCAACCUGGGAACUGCGUCCGAUACUGGCAGGCUUGAAUCCGGGAGAGGGAUGUGGAAUUCCAGGUGUAGCGGUGAAAUGCGUAGAUAUCUGGAGGAACACCGGUGGCGAAGGCGGCAUCCUGGACCGGUAUUGACGCUGAGGCGCGAAAGCUAGGGGAGCAAACGGG